GGAAGCAAUUUAGCUCACGUAUGAGUUCCAUGUGUAAUACAGCUGACCUAAACUAUAAAAGAGGGACGAAAGAUACCAAAGGGACAGUCAAACUCAUAAAUCUAAAACAAACUGACAACGCCAUGGCUAAAAAUGAAAAAGACAAACAGAAAAACAAUAGAACACAUGACACAACAUAGAAAACUAAAGAAUAAACAACACGAACCC
rnacentral:lncRNA from 1 species